GUGGGGAAUCUUCCGCAAUGGACGAAAGUCUGACGGAGCAACGCCGCGUGUAUGAUGAAGGUCUUCGGAUUGUAAAGUACUGUCUUUGGGGAAGAACGGUAGGCUUGAAAAUAUUGAGCUUACAUGACGGUACCCAAGGAGGAAGCCCCGGCUAACUACGUGCCAGCAGCCGCGGUAAUACGUAGGGGGCAAGCGUUGUCCGGAAUCAUUGGGCGUAAAGGGCGCGUAGGCGGAUAGUUAAGUCCGGUGUGAAAGAUCAGGGCUCAACCCUGAGAGUGCAUCGGAAACUGGUUAUCUUGAGGACAGGAGAGGAAAGUGGAAUUCCACGUGUAGCGGUGAAAUGCGUAGAUAUGUGGAGGAACACCAGUGGCGAAGGCGACUUUCUGGACUGUAACUGACGCUGAGGCGCGAAAGCGUGGGGAGCAAACAGGAUUAGAAACCCCAGUAGUCC
rnacentral:rRNA from 1 species